rnacentral:rRNA from 1 species
GUAGGGAAUAUUGGGCAAUGGAUGAAAGUCUGACCCAGCCAUGCCGCGUGCCGGAUGAAGGCGCUCAGCGUUGUAAACGGCUUUUAUUCGGGAAGAAGAGCAGGGAUGCGUCCCUGUGUGACGGUACCGAAUGAAUAAGCACCGGCUAACUCCGUGCCAGCAGCCGCGGUAAUACGGAGGGUGCGAGCGUUGUCUGGAUUUAUUGGGUUUAAAGGGUGCGUAGGUGGCCAAAUAAGUCAGCGGUGAAAUACUGUUGCCCAACAAUCGAGGUGCCAUUGAUACUGCUUGGCUUGAAAUAAUUGGAGGCUGCCGGAAUGGAUGGUGUAGCGGUGAAAUGCAUAGAUAUCAUCCAGAACACCGAUUGCGAAGGCAGGUGGCUACGAUUUAUUUGACACUGAGGCACGAAAGCAUGGGGAGCAAACAGGAUUAGAAACCCCAGUAGUCC